GCAUUUUUGGUGUAACGGUAGCACACUCGGCGCAUAUUCGAGAGGUCCCGGGUUCGAAUCCCGGCGAGGGCA
rnacentral:tRNA from 1 species